rnacentral:rRNA from 1 species
UAGUCCACGCCGUAAACGAUGAUAACUAGCUGUUUGCGAUACACAGUAAGCGGCAAAGCGAAAGCAUUAAGUUAUCCACCUGGGGAGUACGGUCGCAAGAUUGAAACUCAAAGGAAUUGACGGGGGCCCGCACAAGCGGAGGAACAUGUGGUUUAAUUCGAUGAUACGCGAGGAACCUUACCUGGGCUUAAAUGUAAGUUGCUUUAUAUGGAAACAUAUAUUUCUUCGGACAAUUUACAAGGUGCUGCAUGGUUGUCGUCAGCUCGUGCCGUGAGGUGUCGGGUUAAGUCCCAUAACGAGCGCAACCCCUAUCGUUAGUUGCUAGCAGGUCAAGCUGAGGACUCUAACGAGACUGCCGGUGUAAACCGAGAGGAAGGUGGGGAUGACGUCAAAUCAGCACGGGCCCUUACGUCCAGGGGCUACACACGUGUUACAAUGGGCCGAUACAGAGGGGCAGGCUACAUAGUGAUAUGAU